rnacentral:rRNA from 1 species
GAUCAUGGCUCAGGAUGAACGCUAGCGGCAGGCUUAACACAUGCAAGUCGAGGGGCAGCGCGAGUAGCAAUACUUGGCGGCGACCGGCGCAAGGGUGCGUAACGCGUGAGCAACAUGCCCGUAUCAGGGGGAUAAUCCAGGGAAACUUGGUCUAAUACCCCAUAGUAAUUUUGUAAGGCAUCUUAUAAGAUUUAAAGCUUUGGUGGAUACGGAUUGGCUCGCGUGACAUUAGCUGGAUGGUAAGGUAACGGCUUACCAUGGCUAUGAUGUCUAGGGGUUCUGAGAGGAAGGUCCCCCACACUGGAACUGAGACACGGUCCAGACUCCUACGGGAGGCAGCAGUGAGGAAUAUUGGACAAUGGAUGGAAAUCUGAUCCAGCCAUGCCGCGUGAAGGAAGAAGGUCCUAUGGAUUGUAAACUUCUUUUGUAUGGGAGCAAUAAGGCCUACGAGUAGGUUGAUGAGAGUACCAUACGAAUAAGCACCGGCUAACUCCGUGCCAGCCGCAGC